GGGCCCGCACAAGCGGUGGAGCAUGUGGUUUAAUUCGAUGAUACGCGAGGAACCUUACCAGGGCUUAAAUGCAGAACGACCGGGGUGGAAACACCCCUUUCUUCGGACGGUCUGCAAGGUGCUGCAUGGUUGUCGUCAGCUCGUGCUGUGAAGUGUCGGGUUAAGUCCCAUAACGAGCGCAACCCCUAUUUCUAGUUGCCAGCGGUUCGGCCGGGGACUCUAGAGAAACUGCCAGCGUAAGCUGUGAGGAAGGUGGGGAUGACGUCAAAUCAUCACGGCCCUUACGUCCUGGGCCACACACGUGCUACAAUGGUGGGGACAACGAGUCGCGAACCCGCGAGGGUAAGCUAAUCUUCAAACCCCAUCUCAGUUCGGAUUGGGGUCUGCAACUCGACCCCAUGAAGUCGGAAUCGCUAGUAAUCG
rnacentral:rRNA from 1 species